UCUCAGUUCGGAUUGGAGUCUGCAACUCGACUCCAUGAAGCUGGAUUCGCUAGUAAUCGCGCAUCAGCCAUGGCGCGGUGAAUACGUUCCCGGGCCUUGUACACACCGCCCGUCAAGCCAUGGGAGCCGGGGGUGCCUGAAGUACGUGACCGCGAGGAGCGUCCUAGGGCAAAACUGGUGACUGGGGCUAAGUCGUAACAAGGUAAC
rnacentral:rRNA from 1 species